rnacentral:rRNA from 1 species
AGAGAGAGACAUGCGCGCAUAUCAAUAAGCGGAGGAAAAGAAACUAACUAGGAUUCCCUCAGUAACGGCGAGUGAAGCGGGAAGAGCUCAAAUUUGAAAUCUUCAAGGUUCUACCUUGACGAAUUGUAGUUUAAAGAAGUGUUUUCUGUUGGAGUUUUGGUAAAAGUUCUUUGGAAUAGGACAUCAUAGAGGGUGAGAAUCCCGUAUUUGACCAUUAUUUCCAGCUUUGUGAUACACUUUCAAGAGUCGGAUUGUUUGGGAAUGCAGUCCAAAAUGGGUGGUAAAUUUCAUCUAAAGCUAAAUAUUGGCGAGAGACCGAUAGCGAACAAGUACCGUGAGGGAAAGACGAAAAGAACUUUGAAAAGAGAGUUAAACAGUACGUGAAAUUGUCAAAAGGGAAGCGUUUGACACCAGUGUUGUUUUCUCGAAAAUCAAUUAAAAAAGGCAGGAUUUUGUGUUGUAUUGACUUUAUCAGCUUUCUGCACUCUUUUCUUGUCUUUUUUAAUGCACUUUUCGUUUAACAAGUCAACAUCAAUUUCUUUUGUUGUAAAAGGGUCAUUGGAAGGUGGCUUUCUUUUCGGAGAAAGUGUUUAUAGCCUUUGGCCUCUGCAAUCGGAGAGAUUGAGGUCUGCAGCGUAGAUCCUUCGGGGUUAGAUACAUUUGUGCUAAGUUAUAGCCUUUCAUAGACAACUUGUUGACUAUGAUCAGUCAUGUAGCUUACUCGCUUAUGCUAUUUUACCUACGCUUAGGAUGUUGAUGUGAUACUGCGAGCA